rnacentral:lncRNA from 1 species
GUGAAAAAUUUUGAGGUGCAAUGCACAAAAAAGGACUCCUUUUAUGGUUGCCGAUCAAAGGUGUUUGGAUAGGAUAGAAUCCCAUUCAUUGUUCGAAUUCAAAACUCUUUUGAAUUCAAAUCAAGCUGAUCUUAUCCCCAUCAAUUCUCUGAUCGAAGGAGCACUGAACAUGAGCUUAAGGGCAUAGAAAAAUACUAGGAUCUUCUCCUUUUUAUCGCACAAA